rnacentral:tRNA from 1 species
CAUAGGAUAGUUUAUUAAAAUAUUAACUUUGGGAGUUAAUGAUAAAGAUUUUUCUUUUCCUUUGA